UCCCUCAUAGCUCAGUUGGUAAAGCAUCUGCCUGCAGUGCAGGAGACCCAGGUUCGAUUCCAGGGUUGGGAA
rnacentral:tRNA from 1 species